rnacentral:rRNA from 1 species
GGGCCCGCACAAGCGGUGGAGCAUGUGGUUUAAUUCGAUGCAACGCGAAGAACCUUACCUACUCUUGACAUCCUGCGAAUUUGGUAGAGAUACCUUAGUGCCUUCGGGAACGCAGAGACAGGUGCUGCAUGGCUGUCGUCAGCUCGUGUUGUGAAAUGUUGGGUUAAGUCCCGUAACGAGCGCAACCCUUGUCCUUAUUUGCCAGCGCGUAAUGGCGGGAACUCUAAGGAGACUGCCGGUGACAAACCGGAGGAAGGUGGGGACGACGUCAAGUCAUCAUGGCCCUUACGAGUAGGGCUACACACGUGCUACAAUGGUCGGUACAAAGGGUUGCCAACUCGCGAGAGUGAGCCAAUCCCGAAAAGCCGAUCUCAGUUCGGAUUGUACUCUGUAACUCGAGUGCAUGAAGCUGGAAUUGCUAGUAAUCGCGGAUC